GCCCGGGUAGCUCAAUGGUUAGAGCAGCGGCCUUAUAAGCCGACCCCUUCCCUCGGAAGGGCUCCGCCAGAUUAGCGGCAGGUUGCCGGUUCGAGUCCGGCCCCGGGCACCA
rnacentral:tRNA from 1 species